AUUUCUCUCAACUAUUCCUCCCUCUCAAACUCUCUGGAGAAGACGAAGAUGAAAGCCGUAAUUCCUCUCCGAAUCAGAAAUCGUCACCGCCGCGGUUCUCCGGCCGUCUUAGGCGCCGACGACCGGUUGCUCCGGAUUAUGGCUCUGAUCUGCUUCCUCGGACCCUCUUCUCACUCUCGCGUACACAAUUGAGGCAGAGGUCGAGUCCUAGUUCUCUCGGCUCAGGCAAAAUCACCGUCGCCGCUGCGCACAAAACCGCCGCCGCCUCCGAGCUGUCGGCUAGUGGUCGUCGCCUCAUGUUCUCUUGUUAUUACACUCCCUCAACUCUGAAGAACAGACUCACCCUUACACACAAAAAGAACAAAGGCCGAGCCCUAGAUCUCCUCUCUUCCUUAAUUUCUAAGUUAGUAAUACUCUGCUGUGAAUAGGAAAUUCUAGUUUGGCAGUUCAUAACUAAACUCUCUUGGUUUCUAUAUUGCCGAU
rnacentral:lncRNA from 1 species